GAAAUGAAAUGAAAUGAAAUGAAAUGAAUGAAAUGAAAUGAAAUGCUUUAUUUCCGUGAACAUGAUACAUGUAUGGAAAAAGUCAAAUAAACUAAUACUAGGUUAGAGUACUAAAAAAUUGCAAAAAUUACAUGAUUUGUUUGUUCCUGCAACACUCCAUGCAUAGAAAAUAAAAUAAAACCACACUUGCAAAACUCAUAAAAAAACAUACUUACAAGUUGUCAGGAAGUUCAAAAAACUCAUGGAUUGAGUAAAGUGGGUUAGCCAAUAGGAACUCCCUCACCCUCUUUUGGAAUUUAGUGAUUGGCAGGUUCCGAACUGUACAAGGCAAUUUGUUCAUUAAUUUCAAGCUUAAGAUUUCCUUACUAGCCUGGGUUUUCUUUAGUCUAACAUAAGGUAUGUCUAGAUCCUGCUUAUUCCUAGUGUUGUAGUGGUGGACCCCUCCUCUGAGCUCGAGAGUGCCAAGCUUCCUCUUACAUGACAUGAGACACUGCAAAAUGAAGAGAUUGUAAACUGUCAUCAAGGACUCGGCAACAAAGAUUGAGGACUGGGAGGACUGGAUUGAUAGUGAUAGUGAUUCAGAAGUUGAGAUUUUGAUUCAGUUGAGGAACUGGUCAAUCAAGUGGGCCAGACUCAAGACACACCAAGAGAACUACUGGAAUCUACACAAAAAUUGGACGUCUCUAAAUUUGAAUGGAUACCUAUCACACCAAAUGAGGCAGAAUUACCAUUCUCAGCAUACACGAAGUAAGGAACAACUGGAUAUACCACAUCACAGGCUAGCCAUCACAGGAGAUGGAUGCACCCUUCUUCAGAAGGCGCUGAAAGAAAUACUAAUUAUAGGCCGCUGUACUCCGUAAAAGAACUUAAGGAAGAGCACCUAGUGAGAUAAGUGUAUGUCUGCCAUAUCAUCCGUUAAACAGCCAGGUUUUUGAAGGAAGAAAGAUGUAGCCCCAGCUCUGGACAAAAAUAUUAUGGAGAAGGUUGGCCGCUGUACAGGGCAGCCUAUAGUUAUUAUUAUAUGUUGCCUUUUAUUGUUAUGUACUGUUUUUAUACUUUACCAAUAAACCUUAUAUUUAUCUA